UAGGGAAUCUUCGGCAAUGGGGGGAACCCUGACCGAGCAACGCCGCGUGAGUGAAGAAGGUUUUCGGAUCGUAAAGCUCUGUUGUUAAGGAAGAACGAGUGUGAGAAUGGAAAGUUCAUGCUGUGACGGUACUUAACCAGAAAGGGACGGCUAACUACGUGCCAGCAGCCGCGGUAAUACGUAGGUCCCGAGCGUUGUCCGGAUUUCUUGGGCGUAAAGCGAGCGCAGGCGGUUAGAAAAGUCUGAAGUGAAAGGCAGUGGCUCAACCAUUGUAGGCUUUGGAAACUGUUUAGCUUGAGUGCAGAAGGGGAGAGUAGAAUUCCAUGUGUAGCGGUGAAAUGCGUAGAUAUAUGGAGGAACACCGGUGGCGAAAGCGGCUCUCUGGUCUGUAACUGACGCUGAGGCUCGAAAGCGUGGGGAGCGAACAGG
rnacentral:rRNA from 1 species